rnacentral:lncRNA from 1 species
AAAAGCUGCAAGGAAUUGUGUUGAAGACAGAAGCCGAAACCGAGAUGUUCUGUUUUGAUCCAACAGUUAUCAAUUGGGACGACUAUUUUGUGGAUAUACAUGUUCCUGGACUGGUUAAGUACGUUUUCUAAUGAUCUCAUUUGUGUAACCUUUGUUUUAUCAUGUUCCAACGAGUAUAAACUGUGUGGAAAAUAUAGUACUCGUUGAUCUGUUUUUAUUCGGCUACGUUUUCAAACUUGGGAUGUUGCUAUUUAAAUGUUUACUUUCAGCAUUUGCAUAUCUAUAAUGGAACUAUAAUUUUUCAAUAAAAUUUUAUAUGACGUCUUAUGUUCUCUAUAUGAGUUAAUAGUAUCCAUUAUCCAAUAUUGAAAAUAACAGUCCUUCCAUUUUAUAAUAAUAAUAAUAAUCUGAAAGGCGAAUAACCUCUUUGACAUGAUGUUCUUCGCAACUUCAUCAUUGACAAAACACCUACCAGAAACUAAAUGGUAUGAACAUAGUGUUUGCACAUGGUAGUACUAGUAUCGAACCCUAACCUAUCACCAGUACAUGUUUUUUAUUUUCAGGGCAUCUCCAAUUUCACUAUAUUUUCUACUCUAAAAUAGAGUCCAAAAUAAAAAUAUUCUAAUGGUACUCUAUUUUUCACUAUAUAAUAGAGUAAAAAAUGGGUAAAUGACGUCAACAUAUUUCCACACCACAAAUAUCAUAUAGUAACAAUUCCACGCAAUCUUUCAUCCAUUAUGCAAGCUUUUGGACAAAAGUUUGAAGGAUUUUCAUAGGAAGAUAAACUUUGCAUUCCGGCUCGUUGAACUUUACCAGCCCUACCUCUUUUUCAAUGGAGUGUAAGUAACUUAAUUAUCAGUUUCUCACUAUGUUAUUUGUUCUCUAAUCUAAUGUGGUUUGAGAUCUAAAACAAAUGUUGUGCAGAUUUGAUGAUACAAACACGGAAAAGCUGCAAGGAAUUGUGUUGAAGACAGAAGCCGAAACCGAGAUGUUCUGUUUUGAUCCAACAGUUAUCAAUUGGGACGACUAUUUUGUGGAUAUACAUGUUCCUGGACUGGUUAAGUACGUUUUCUAAUGAUCUCAUUUGUGUAACCUUUGUUUUAUCAUGUUCCAACGAGUAUAAACUGUGUGGAAAAUAUAGUACUCGUUGAUCUGUUUUUAUUCGGCUACGUUUUCAAACUUGGGAUGUUGCUAUUUAAAUGUUUACUUUCAGCAUUUGCAUAUCUAUAAUGGAACUAUAAUUUUUCAAUAAAAUUUU